UACGAGAGGCCCAAACGUUAUUCGGAUUUACUGGGCUUAAAGAGUUCGUAGGCGGUUCGGUAAGUGAGGUGUGAAAGCCCUCGGCUCAACCGAGGAAUUGCGCUUCAAACUGCCGGGCUCGAGGGAGAUAGAGGUGAGCGGAACUGAUGGUGGAGCGGUGAAAUGCGUUGAUAUCAUCAGGAACACCAGAGGCGAAGGCGGCUCACUGGGUCUUUUCUGACGCUGAGGAACGAAAGCUAGGGGAGCAAACGGG
rnacentral:rRNA from 1 species